rnacentral:rRNA from 1 species
UACAGAGGUCUCAAGCGUUGUUCGGAUUCAUUGGGCGUAAAGGGUGCGUAGGCGGCGCGGUAAGUCGGAUGUGAAAUCUCGGAGCUUAACUUCGAAACUGCAUUCGAUACUGCCGUGCUUGAGGACUGGAGAGGAGACUGGAAUUUACGGUGUAGCAGUGAAAUGCGUAGAUAUCGUAAGGAAGACCAGUGGCGAAGGCGAGUCUCUGGACAGUUACUGACGCUGAGGCGCGAAAGCGUGGGUAGCAAACAGG